CUUACUCUUAUCGAGACGCUAACACAAAAACAAAACCCGUAGCAAUCAAAUAAAUUAUAUACCGGGAAUCUCUUUGUAAAGGAUAGAUUAUCGAAUCACUGAAAAGAGAUUAUGGCACUUGGAGUAAACCUAUAAAGAAAAUGGAGCAUCACAUGACCAAAAGGCUAGUAUUAGUUAUAAGUUAUUUUCAGUAAGUGUUAUAUUGUGUAUCCCAUUGUAAAAAGUUAUGGAAUUUGUUGGCACUAUAUAAGUAUAAUAAUAAUAAUAAUAAUAUUCAAUUGUGUAAUUUCCAGAAAAGUGAUAGAACCCCUUUAAAAAAGUUUUGCAUUUCUGCAAAAAAAAAAAAAAAAAAAUCAAGACUGUUGGUAUAAUUUUUAUGGCUGUGUAACCUGAUGUCAAUUCAGUAUCUCUGCAUGCUAUAUUGAUAAGAGCAGCAACUCGUUACUUCUCCUCCACAUAAAAAGAAAAAAAAGAAAAAACAAACAAACAUGAAUGAAGAAACCUAACUCAGGGAGAAGACACUGAGUUGAGUUUAUAAAGUCAAGCACCCAUGGUUUCUAAAUGUUUUGAAACAUCCAGAAUUAUCACUUUGUCGGUUUUUCUUUGAUUUAACCUCUGUUAGAUCUCAUACUCGUCCAACUGCUCCUGCAGCUCCAUCAAACAACAGUCUUUUAGAAGCCUGUUACAGCGCACGCUGCCAAAUCUAGCCGUGCUCGAGCUAUGUUCAGUUUGAAGAGACAAUGCUGCUAUUUUGCAUAGCUUACUUUUUAUGUAAUAUUCUAACAUAAUAAUUCUGUUUUUUUUUUAAAGGUUCAAUAUGUCCAUAUGCUCGUCUGGAGAUGAACUGCAAACAGAAGUGCCCACCCUAAAAUAAAC